rnacentral:tRNA from 1 species
UCCCGGAUCGUCUAAAGGCAGGACAGCUGACUCUGGAUCAGCUAAUCGGGGUUCGAAUCCCUGUCCGGGAACCA